CUCUUUGAUUGAUAACGUAUAUUUUUUUCAGUUUAAUUGACUUUCCUUUUUUGAAUUUGCCUUGGAAUUCGGUAAACUGUUUUACUCCUUUUGAGUAGAUAAUCGUUUUCAAUAUUCGAUUUUCCGAUCUAUUAAUUGGUCGAUUUUUUUCUAUAUUAAUAUUGCCUAUGUUCACAUUCAAGAUCCACCUCUUUCAAUAAUGGUGGUUUUAGCAUAGGAAAAUGUCCUAACGAACAAUGCUCUAAUUACAAAUUUAUUGCGG
rnacentral:lncRNA from 1 species